AUCGUUGAGAACCACCUC
rnacentral:snRNA from 1 species